AGGAGGAACAGCAACAGUGGCGGCGGCCAGCCCUGGAGCCCUGAAUUCAGCUCCUGCCGUAACUAUGGAGCUCUCCGUCUGCAGGGGCCUGGAUGAUCCGGGGCGGC
rnacentral:pre_miRNA from 1 species